rnacentral:rRNA from 1 species
UUAACACAUGCAAGUCGAACGGUGAAAGAGAGCUUGCUCUCUGGAUCAGUGGCGAACGGGUGAGUAACACGUGAGCAAUCUGCCCCUGACUCUGGGAUAAGCGUUGGAAACGACGUCUAAUACCGGAUACGAGCUGCGAAGGCAUCUUCAGCAGCUGGAAAGAACUUCGGUCAGGGAUGAGCUCGCGGCCUAUCAGCUAGUUGGUGAGGUAAUGGCUCACCAAGGCGUCGACGGGUAGCCGGCCUGAGAGGGUGACCGGCCACACUGGGACUGAGACACGGCCCAGACUCCUACGGGAGGCAGCAGUGGGGAAUAUUGCACAAUGGGCGCAAGCCUGAUGCAGCAACGCCGCGUGAGGGACGACGGCCUUCGGGUUGUAAACCUCUUUUAGCAAGGAAGAAGCGAAAGUGACGGUACUUGCAGAAAAAGCGCCGGCUAACUACGUGCCAGCAGCCGCGGUAAUACGUAGGGCGCAAGCGUUAUCCGGAAUUAUUGGGCGUAAAGAGCUCGUAGGCGGUUUGUCGCGUCUGCUGUGAAAACCCGAGGCUCAACCUCGGGCCUGCAGUGGGUACGGGCAGACUAGAGUGCGGUAGGGGAGAUUGGAAUUCCUGGUGUAGCGGUGGAAUGCGCAGAUAUCAGGAGGAACACCGAUGGCGAAGGCAGAUCUCUGGGCCGUAACUGACGCUGAGGAGCGAAAGGGUGGGGAGCAAACAGGCUUAGAUACCCUGGUAGUCCACCCCGUAAACGUUGGGAACUAGUUGUGGGGUCCAUUCCACGGAUUCCGUGACGCAGCUAACGCAUUAAGUUCCCCGCCUGGGGAGUACGGCCGCAAGGCUAAAACUCAAAGGAAUUGACGGGGACCCGCACAAGCGGCGGAGCAUGCGGAUUAAUUCGAUGCAACGCGAAGAACCUUACCAAGGCUUGACAUAUACGAGAACGCUGCAGAAAUGUAGAACUCUUUUGGACACUCGUAAACAGG